UGAACUUGAACUCUUUUGGAAGAGGAUUUUCUCAAGUUUUGUUGUUCUACCUUGAUACACAUUUGAACAAGAUCAUUCAAAUCUCUAUAAGGUAGUAGUUCAACCCUAUCUCGAAUAUCAAAAUUAAGUCCACUUAAAAACCUAGCCAAGGUAAUUUCUGAAGCCUCUACUAUUCCUGCCCUCAUUAUGUAAAGCUCCAUCUUUUGUCUAUAUUCCUCAACAGACAUUGACUUUUGUUGUAAUCUUUGGAGCUUAUCCAUGAGUUCUCUAUUGUAAUAGGAGGGAAUGU
rnacentral:lncRNA from 1 species